AGCAGCACCUGAGCCCCAAACGGCGGCCCCUAGACACCCCAGAGAACUGGCUUGGGACGGGACGACGUGUGCUGGCGGAGUCUGGAGAUGCGGGGGAGAAGUGGAGCGAGGACUUCCAAUCACGUUAAGAUGAAACUGAGAACAAAAGUCCUACACCCGCCAUGGAACAGCCGUCUUGUAGGCGUGAAGACCCGAGUCACGUCCUACGUGGUGGAUGAGGAAGAGGGAAGCGUGGCUGUUCCCACCCGGGCUGCCCUCCCCUGGACCCUGCUGGACAAGCAGUGAACACCUCACUGUAUCAGCUACUGUCUGUGAAGCUUCCGCUGUGUGUUGCCAAAAUAACUCUUAAGUAAUAAGCUACUAAAUUACUUCCAUGAACAUCCAGUAAAAUAAAAUGAUUUAGAAUUUAUCUGAAAAAGCACGAACUUGAAUGGAUAAACUGUAGUCACGUCCAGGCAAUGGAAUUAUUAUUCAGCACUAAAAAGAAACGAGCUUAUCAGGCUAUGAAGACAGGGAGAAAACUUAAAUGUUUUAUCACUAAGAAGUGAAUCUGAAACGAGCAAAUGGUAUAUGAUUCCAACAUGUGGCAUUCUGGGAAAGGUGGGGAAAAUAUCAGUGGUUUCCAAGGCCUGGGGGACGGGAGAGAUGAGUAAGUGGGUCCACGGCAGUGCACCCGUCUAAACCCACAGGAUGCGCAGCACCCAGUGGCCCUGCUGUGCCUGGGGCUCUGGGUGCUGGGGCGAGUCAGCAUGGGUGCAUCACCUGCCAUAAUGUACUCUCUGGUGGAGACGUGACGGGGGGGGGGCUUGUGGGAAAUCUCUACUUUCUGCUCAGUUUUACUUUGAACCUAAAACUUGAUCUGAAAAGUUGUUUAAAUAAAAAAGUAUAAAAAUAAAAGAA